UACAGAGGUGGCGAGCGUUGUUCGGGUUUAUUGGGCGUAAAGGGUCCGUAGGCGGCUCGGAAAGUCGGAUGUGAAAUCCCACAGCUCAACUGUGGAACUGCAUUCGAAACUUCCAAGCUAGAGUAUGAGAGGGGUAAAGGGAAUUCCCGGUGUAAGGGUGAAAUCUGCAGAGAUCGGGAGGAACACCAGUCGCGAAGGCGCUUUACUGGCUCAUUACUGGCGCUCAGGGACGAAAGCUAGGGUAGCAAACGGG
rnacentral:rRNA from 1 species